rnacentral:rRNA from 1 species
GUGGGGAAUCUUGCGCAAUGGGCGAAAGCCUGACGCAGCCAUGCCGCGUGAAUGAUGAAGGUCUUAGGAUUGUAAAAUUCUUUCACCGGGGACGAUAAUGACGGUACCCGGAGAAGAAGCUCCGGCUAACUACGUGCCAGCAGCCGCGGUAAUACGAAGGGGGCUAGCGUUGCUCGGCAUUACUGGGCGUAAAGGGCGCGUAGGCGGACAGCUUAGUCAGAGGUGAAAGCCCAGGGCUCAACCUUGGAAUUGCCUUUGAUACUGGCUGUCUUGAGUUUGGGAGAGGUGAGUGGAACUCCGAGUGUAGAGGUGAAAUUCGUAGAUAUUCGGAAGAACACCAGUGGCGAAGGCGACUCACUGGCCCAAUACUGACGCUGAGGCGCGAAAGCGUGGGGAGCAAACAGGAUUAGAAACCCCGGUAGUCC